GAUACCCUCAGAACUCAAUAAACAUGCCAUUCAAGUAAUAGGUUUACAAUAAGGAUUCCUGAAUUUAGAAGACCAAAGAAACUGCUGCCCUUCCUAUAAUCACAGGGACUGUUUCAAAGAAACAGCAAUGCAGCCUUUGGCACAAGACUUUCUUCAUUGGUGGAGGAUGAUUAAUCAAUGCACCUCAUUUGACCAGGGAUCAGCACUUGGGAAGAAAAGGUCUUGGUCUUCUAAGAACCAGCUUUGAGAGAGAAGACACACAGUUCCAGAUUCUCUUGAUUUCAAAGGUGAUCUAUAUAUGCCCCAAAGUCCUGUUACAACUGUGUUGUAGUUCUUCAUAUUGAAAAUAUUGUAAAUGUUGUUUGGAUCUGCUUUUCUGAUGGGAGUGAUGAGGAAAUAAUCAUCUGAUCUUUAUGAGAGUUCUGCAAGAUUCCAGAGAUGUCUGUCAGUACCUCUCCAUGAGCACUAGGAAGAUGUGGACACAUAUAUCUUCAUGGGGCAACACACUUCAACUAUAUUGGAAUAGUAAUGUGCUGUAAGAAUGACAAAUAUUGGGAAUUCAAUGAAACAUAGGAAGACUUCAUAAAGUGAUACAUAUUGAAGAAAGCAGGACCAUAGGAACAACCUACAUGAUGUCCUUUUGUAAAGCUUUAUAGCAGAUUAUAUAUGUAAAUGACAUAAUGUAAAUUUAAAUAAUGUAAUGUAAAUGAAUAAUGUCAUUUACAUAAUGCAAAUUUGUAAUUUUUUACAAACGGUUGUCUACAAAGGGUUGGUCUACAGAGGUAAAACUGAAUAUAUACUACCAGUUACC
rnacentral:lncRNA from 1 species